UUUAGGAUCCUAUAAAAUAGAGUAAUUCUAUAAAUAGUUGAAUAAUUUAUCUAAUUGUUUUGUGACUUUA
rnacentral:tRNA from 1 species